GAAAGCCUGACGGAGCAAGACCGCGUGGGGGAAGAAGGCUCUUGGGUUGUAAACCCCUUUUCUCUGGGAAGAAAGUUGUGAAAGCAACCUGACGGUACCAGAGGAAUCAGCAUCGGCUAACUCCGUGCCAGCAGCCGCGGUAAGACGGAGGAUGCAAGCGUUAUCCGGAAUGAUUGGGCGUAAAGCGUCCGCAGGUGGCAGUUCAAGUCUGCUGUCAAAGACCGGGGCUCAACCUCGGAAAGGCAGUGGAAACUGAACAGCUAGAGUAUGGUAGGGGCAGAGGGAAUUCCCGGUGUAGCGGUGAAAUGCGUAGAGAUCGGGAAGAACAUCGGUGACGAAGGCGCUCUGCUGGACCAAAACUGACACUCAGGGACGAAAGCUAG
rnacentral:rRNA from 1 species